GAUGAACGCUGGCGGCGCGCCUAACACAUGCAAGUCGAACGGGAACACCCGUAGCAAUAUGGGUGUUUUAGUGGCGGACGGGUGAGUAACGCGUGAGGAACCUGCCUUUCGGAGGGGAAUAACACAUCGAAAGAUGUGCUAAUACCGCAUAAUGUCAUCGGGUGGCAUCGCCUGAUGACCAAAAGAGCAAAUCUGCCGAAAGAUGGCCUCGCGUCCGAUUAGAUAGUUGGUGAGGUAACGGCCCACCAAGUCUGCGAUCGGUAGCCGGACUGAGAGGUUGAACGGCCACAUUGGGACUGAGACACGGCCCAGACUCCUACGGGAGGCAGCAGUGGGGGAUAUUAGUCAAUGGAGGAAACUCUGAACUAGCGACGCCGCGUGAGGGAAGAAGGUCUUCGGAUUGUAAAACCUCUGUCUUCGGGGACGAUAAAUGACGGUACCCGAGGAGGAAAGCUCCGGCUAACUACGUG
rnacentral:rRNA from 1 species